ACACACACACACACACACACACACACGCUGCCAAUUUCUUGGUAUUUUGUCAAUACUGACUUUGCCCCUUUUCUAAAUCUUCAUUUCCAAUUAAGGCUUCCUGUUUGAUGGAUAAUUGGUGACAGAUGACACAGAAUAAGCCCAGUGGAAGACUUUGUUUCCCAUGGGUCCAUAUGUAAGACAUUGGGUCAAGUGUCAAAUGCUUUGGGCCAUGGUUUACAACCAAUGUUUGUGACUUCCACCCCUCCUCACCCUCUGUCUUCCCUGCUGUCCUUUAUAUUCUUCCCCACAAGUAUGUUUCAAAUCUUUUCUCUCCUCUUGAUGCCCACUGCCUCUUUUACUUAGACCAUUGCAAAGUUCACCACUUCAAUUCUGCCCUCAAAACAUCUGCAAGAAUGUGUUUUCUAAUCCAUAAAUCUGAUUAUAUUUUUUUCUUUGUUCAGAAAACACAAUGGGCUCCCAUUGCCUACAAAAUAAAGACCACUCUCUAUGGCCAUGCCUACCAGGACCUUCAUCAAUAACCCCCCUUAACCUCCUCUACCACUGAUGCCAUUCAUUUAUCUUUCACUCAUUCAUUCAAAACCAUGAAGCAUCCACUAUGUGCCAACCAUCAUUCUGGACACACAGCCAAACUAAACUUCUCUUUCCCAAACACUUCCUGCCCUCUUACAACACUGCUUUCUCUCACAACGUUCUCUUUGCCAGAAACGCUUCUAUUCCUCUUCUAUCAAACUCUCAUUCAUCCUUCCAGAUUCAGCUUUCUUUGUGUGCCCUCUGUGAAGCUUUGCCUAAGACAGACACACACGUGCACACACAUGUUCCAAGCAGGUUCUCUCUUUUGUAUCACCACCCACCAUGGUUUUAUGGAACGACCAUGACUUGUAUCACUUUGAGGAAUCACUGCCUGCUUAUCUGUUUCCUUUCUAAGGCAAAGAUUGUGUCAGCCUCAAGGGCAGGAGAACGUAUAUACUUUUCUGUAUACUUAACUCACUGAUUGGCACAUAAGAAGUGUUGGUGAAUGUUUGCUGAUUGACACCUGCCUCCACCACCUGGCAAAAAAGCCACUUUGCCAUUCCAAGCUAUUCUGAGGAGUGAGCAAGGUGAGUGGCUACCUACCCAAUGACACCUUUCCCAUCAUGAAAUUUUACUCUCACCACCAGCCUACACCCCAGUCUCUGCAAUUGCGCCAUUAGAUAUUUAGUUCUCAGUACACACUACCUUUUUUUUUUUUUAUCUUUCCACUCUUAUUUUCUGAUCCAGGAAACACGGUCCUUAAGAAGACAGAAUCUGAAGUCAGAGUGCUUCUAUGAACCCACCAACUUUGCCAUUCUACCUGGGCAACCUGGUAUCAUUUCCAUUCUUCACUCAUGAAAUAGGGAUCCUCAUAAUACUCAGUCUCACAAGGUGGUUGUGAGGAUUAAGGAAAGCAGUACUUAUGAAGUGCUUAAAAUAAUUUCUGUUCAGAAAACACAUCUUCAGGAAAAUCACCCCUGACUCACCCAGGCUAAGUCACAAGCUUUUGUUAUAAGCUCUCAUCAUACCAUAUGCCUCUCUUUCAAAACCAGCACCUGCAGAAAUCAGUUUCUUAUAGGGCACGUUUGAGGCUGACUGCAGUGGAAGAUGUAACUGACUGGACAUCACAGGGACAAGGUGCAUCCUGUCCCUAUGAUACACCAUGCCUGGCCUGCGGGCCGUCUUAAUGUGCAGGGCAAUGGCCAGCGCUGCUGUCCCCCUGCAUGCAGACUUGCCGCAGUGGCACUGUGGGGCUCUGCUGGGCUCAUUAGUGGCUCCCUCACCCACAACCUUCACAACUCUGACUGGAAUUCUUCGCAGAGCCAGUGCACCUAAAGGCAAAAGAUCAUUCUCUCUGGGGGAGUCCAGCUGACAUGUUGUGAGGACACUCAAGCAGCUUUAUGGAAAGGCCCACAUGGUGAGCAACUGAGGCCUCCUACCAACAGCCAACAAGGAACUGGGGCCUUUGCCAACAGCCAGACUCCCCAAAUGACAAGUUAUUCCAGAAAUACUCAGAAAAAGGAGGGUGCCGUAUGUCGCACAUGGAAAAAUAGAAAAAGUAACAGAAUCCAGCCAAAGGAUUCCCAGAAAUUGAGGCUCUUCUGUUCUUGGCAUUUGCAUCUUUGGAUGUGUGUUUUUUACAUUGCUCUAUGCAAAAGGUAUGUUUCUAUGUGAUUUUUUUUUAUCCUCCCGUCUUACUACUGAGGAAUCACAAGGAAUAGACUUGACAUCUGUGAACUCAAUUUACCCUAGAAAAAUGUUUCAGUCACACUUAAAAUGAAAAGGGCAUCAAUUAGAAUAAGAAGGACACUUUAUUGCCUAGGAGGACUGAACAUUUUUGGACCUGGGGCACCUUAUCAGCUUCAUUUUUAGCUCUAGUAUAAUCAAAAUGUCAGGAUCUCCAUUGGACCUUAGAAUUUUUUUAUUUUUCUAUAAGAAUUUCUGAAUGUCUGCCAUGUGUCAAGGGAAAUGCCUAGACUUCUAUGCAUAUGUAUUUUAUUGUCUCCCUACAUCUACCCAGGAAGACAGGCACAGUGAGCCUUCCAUGUUAUAGACGAGGAAUCUAAGUCUCAAAGAAAGAGAAGGAAUUUCUCAAGGUCACACUCUAAGUAAAAGGCAGAGGAGGGAUUAGAACCCUGGAUCCUCUUUAUUACACCAAGCCUGCCUCACAAGGAUGCCAGUCUCUCAUCACUUACUGGGAAAGACCCACUCCUCCCAUUCAUGAUAAGGUAAUGCUAUCCUAUAACCCCAAAGCAGGCAUAAAAUAUGAAGUAGCGAAAUUCAGGCAGGCAGAAGCAGAGUGGUUUAGACAUGGCUCUUGUCUGCAGCAGGGAGAAGUUCCUGGCAACAUGACCCUGAAAAUAACAAUGAGUGACUGAAGCUAAGAAGGAAGAAUCCUCCAAAGACUCUGAAACUAGAUAUUUUCUCAAGCCCCACCUAUGGACAAACACAAAUCACGGAGAAAUAAAGAUGCCAGUCUCCAGGAAGCACCAGUGUUAAAUUCAUUCUGGAAUUUAACUCCUGGCAUUAACAGUUAGCUGGGAAAUUAAAACAAACCGACACACAAACACAAAAAAUAAUCAGUAGAAAAAAGUUUUAAAAAAAAUCAAUGGACAGUGGUUUCAUAGCAGAUGGCAAGAGGAAUAUUAAAAGCUGUAUUUUAUUCGGAACCCAUUGUCUUCUGGUUUCCUUAUUAGGUGUUUUGUAUAUCGAGGCCCAUAACUCCAAGCAGCCUCCAUAAAGUAGAAGCUAAGAACUGCAAUUUGUGGGUUAAAAAACUGUGCUUGAAAUUCCUUGUUUGUCCCUUGUUUGUCAUUUCUCUACCCUUCUGUACCUGGUCCACACCCUAGGAAGAUGACUUGUAUAAACUACAUAAAUGAGCUCCUUGCCUUCUGGCUUCUAGUUGGGUUUAGUCAAUGAGAUCUAUCGGCAGGAAGACUGGAAGGUAGAAGAAUGGCAUCUGACGUU